rnacentral:rRNA from 1 species
GAUGAACGCUGGCGGCGUGCCUAACACAUGCAAGUCGAACGGAAAGGCCCAAGCUUGCUUCGGUUAUCGAUUGCGGAAGGGGGGAGUAUCACGUGUGUGAUGUGUCCUUCAUUUCCGGAUAUGACUGGGAAACUGGGUCUAUUAUCGGAUAGGAUGUGGGUUUCGAUGCUAUUCAGGAAAGUUUUUUAGGUUUGGGGUGAGUUCGCGGCGUAUCAGCUUGUGGGUGGGGUAAUGGCCUAGCAAGGCCUCGAUGGGUAGCCGGCCUGAGAGGGAGUUCGGCCACACGGGAACUGAGCGACGGCCCAGACUCUUACGGGCGGCAGCGGUAGCGAAUGUUGGGCAAUGGGCGGAAGACUGAUCGAGGAACGCCGGGCGGGUGCAGAAGGGCUUCGGGGGGUAAAACGCUCUUCUGGUUGAAGAAGACAUGCGCUAGGAACCAAGCCUGUUUUGACGGUACCUAAAGAAAAAGCACCGGCUAACUACGUG